AUCCAGAAGUGGGAAUUGGAAUUGCCACGAAUCAAGUCUAAAUUUGAUGAAUACUCUUUUUUCGAAUUUUCAAAGUCGGCGACUGCCAAAUAAGAGUAAAAAUUCCGAAUUUUGGGUUUUCUAAAACGAUUUAGUAUAUUUUUAUUACCCCCAUCAAUUAAUAAUAAUAUUUGCAAAAGUAUCUUUGAUUCUCUGACAAAUCGUAUAUGUUCAUAGAAAAUAGUCAUAGAUCGAGUAGCUCCGUAAAUACAAAAUUACAAAAUUUGAACAUAUUUGUCAAAAAGUCUAGAAAAUGUUGGAAGCCAUUCUAUUUUUCCUGUGCAGUACCAUAUUAUAUUUCCUCGCCCAUGUCGAAGAGCCGCCCGCAGGCGGAGGCUUCCUCUUGUGCCGACAUAUUGUACUCUAUACGGCAGCCGCGGGUUUCGUCUUUAUGCAUCGCUGAACUGUGAAAGGAAUAUGGCAAACGUCUUUGUGUGUUUUUUUUGUUGAAAAAGAUGUACAUGUUUAUUGAAAAAUUUGAAAUCAAGCAAAACUAAUCAGAGAACAUUUGCAAGUGAAAUAACAAAAAAAAUAAUAUAAUAAUAAUAAUAAUGAUAUGAAGCACAAGUUCCAAUGCAGUUGGUAUAGAAAUGCGCAGACAAACAACAACCAGUGGAAACCAAGGCGUGAACUAGGCGUGAGUGUACUAACUAUGAUGAACCUUAAAAUUCGAUGACUACUUGGCUUGGCGCCGUCUUGUGGUUGGUGUGGUGGGUGUGCCGGUUGGCGGUUUUAUCUAAAUGGUACAAAAACAAAACCAAAACGACAAUACAUUAGCAAUAAAUCGUACAUAUUUGAUGUGCUCAA
rnacentral:sRNA from 1 species